rnacentral:rRNA from 1 species
ACUUAGUUGCCAUCAUUCAGUUGGGCACUCUAAGUUGACUGCCGGUGACAAACCGGAGGAAGGUGGGGAUGACGUCAAAUCAUCAUGCCCCUUAUGAUUUGGGCUACACACGUGCUACAAUGGACAAUACAAAGGGCAGCGAAACCGCGAGGUCAAGCAAAUCCCAUAAAGUUGUUCUCAGUUCGGAUUGUAGUCUGCAACUCGACUACAUGAAGCUGGAAUCGCUAGUAAUCGUAGAUCAGCAUGCUACGGUGAAUACGUUCCCGGGUCUUGUACACACCGCCCGUCACACCACGAGAGUUUGUAACACCCGAAGCCGGUGGAGUAACCAUUUUGGAGCUAGCCGUCGAAGGUGGGACAAAUGAUUGGGGUGAAGUCGUAACAAGGUAGCCGUAUCGGAAGGUGCGGCUGGAUCACCUCCUUUCUA